ACGCAGCAGCAAUCAGGCUCACUGGACUUACUUUUCAGAUCAGUUUAUGCCUUUGCAUCUUGCUGUUCCAGUUUCAAGAAGUUAAGGAAGAUAACUGGAGAUGUGAUAACGAUACCAGAAGACUGAGAAGAAACUGACCC